rnacentral:rRNA from 1 species
CCCUUAGAGUUUGAUCCUGGCUCAGAAUCAACGCUGGCGGCGUGCCUAACACAUGCAAGUCGAACGCGAAAGGGGAGCAAUCCCUGAGUAGAGUGGCAAACGGGUGAGUAACACGUGGGUGACCUGCCUUCGAGUGGGGGAUAACGUCCCGAAAGGGACGCUAAUACCGCAUGACAUCCUGCCCUUGGAAGGGUGGAGAUCAAAGCUGGGGAUCGCAAGACCUGGCGCUUGAAGAGGGGCCCGCGCCUGAUUAGCUAGUUGGUAGGGUAAUGGCCUACCAAGGCAACGAUCAGUAUCCGGCCUGAGAGGACGACCAGCCACACCGGAACUGAGACACGGUCCGGACUCCUACGGGAGGCAGCAGUGGGGAAUAUUGGACAAUGGGGGCAACCCUGAUCCAGCGACGCCGCGUGGGUGAAGAAGGCCUGCGGGUUGUAAAGCCCUUUCGGUGGGGAAGAAAAGUUGCGACCUAACACGUCGCGACCUUGACGUAACCCACUAAAGAAGCACCGGCUAACUCUGUGCCAGCAGCCGCGGUAAUACAGAGGGUGCGAGCGUUAAUCGGAAUUACUGGGCGUAAAGCGCGCGUAGGCGGCUUUGCAAGUCGGAUGUGAAAUCCCCAGGCCUAACCUGGGAACUGCAUUCGAGACUGCAUGGCUAGAGUAUGGGAGAGGGAAGUGGAAUU